AGUUCCCUCCAACAUUUUACACUCACCAAAUCUUCUCCCAAAUCAAAACCCUACAACUUCCUCCCAAAUAAAAUCAUAAACACCAGUUCAUGUUACAAAGUUCUGCAUCCAGAACCUCUUUUUCCUCCCUCUCUACUGUCGCGCCUCCACAAUGAGAGGAGUUUGUUCUUCCAGUUUUCACUCUUCACCUCCACUCUCUUUCUUUUUCCGGUGAUGAAUCCGAGAACGAUUGUUUCAGGUCUACACGCAGCCGCACUAAAUUCAAACGCUCUGCGAUGGAGGAAGCCCAUGAAAUCCCACGCGCCAAGGACACGAAGGAGAGAUGAGGAGGAAGCCCUUGGUGUGGAGCGCCUCCCCGAGGUUCUCGAAGCUUCUAGGAGGAGCCUCAAUUCUGCCUAAGUCACUUUUCUCGUCAAAUGAUGCCUCAAUCUCUUGAAGGAUAGCAGCUUCAAGGUCUCGCAGGGCACGCUUCAGGCGCUCGACUACGCCGCCGUUCGAGUUGGCGACCACUUCAAGCUCCAAUUGAAUGUGUUCGCUUCCAUUGUCGUUGAAAGGCUAGGCAACGCUAAACAGCCCAUCAGUGACGCCACUAGGCGCCUCUUGCUUACUCUCAUAGAGGAAAUGAAGCCGCUUGCAAAUGAGCAAAUAAAGGUUCUCCUGAAGGUUCAGUGCUAGAAGGAGAAGGAUAAACAUAAUGGGAAGAGAGACAGCAUGGAGGGAUCACAUAAGGUGAAAUGAAAGGGUUCUUACACAUAGUGUUUGAGUUUGUAGGAUGUUAGUUUGUGAUUUAAGGUAGUGUGGUGGAGUUUGGUAGAGAUGCAGAACUUUGCGUCCAUCUCCAUUGCAUCCACCUUUACAAAUCUCUUAUAUCUAUUUUGGUAUGUGUUCCUCAUUUCCAUUUUUCUCUUUUAUUUUUGGCUUUUGUCAUUUUCUCUAAUUUUCACAAUCAUGGAAAUCCAAUAUCGCUUUUGCAUUGCAAUCUGAUGUGAUGAAUUUAUGAACCUGUAAUUGUUUGGAGAGUUUUCUGUUGUGGUAAUUGAAGGGCUGCUAAUUAAUGAGUGAUGUCGUUGCCUUGUCACAGAAACUUAUAUUUGAUGAAGCUAACUAAUGAGUCAUUGCCUUGUCCCACGUCACCUUACAACUAUAGCUAUGGAGUGGUGCUGUUGGAAUUGCUCAUGGGAAGACGAGUUUCAAAUAAGUUGAAUAUGAAGCAAGAUGAUGUUUUCUAGUGGCUUUGUUCCAUGGGUUUUUACUUGGUCUAGUUGUUUUCUAUCGUGUUAGACUUUUAGUCAAUUUUGAAUAUUCCUUAAACACUAUGUAUCUUUUACAUUGUAAUUGUCAAUUGAUGUACUUUAUCUUAAAUUAUCAAUAAAAUUAUUUUUGAUUAA